GCAAACUUGGUCAUUUAGAGGAAGUAAAAGUCGUAACAAGGUUUCCGUAGGUGAACCUGCGGAAGGAUCAUUACAAAUCCAUCCACGUCAUUCACCAUGACAAUGUUGAACUGUUCCUUCACGCGCGCGCAGUGUGGCAACACACUACUCUAAGCGUGGAAACAACACACCAGUGUGACUCUCACCUCUUCCACGAGCGAUGGCUCUCUAAACACAUACACAACAACACAACCUAGAAACAACUUAUAACAAUGGAUCUCUAGGCUCUUGCAUCGAUGAAGAACGCAGC
rnacentral:misc_RNA from 1 species